rnacentral:misc_RNA from 1 species
UGUUAGAAAUUUCUUGUUAAGCAUCCCCCUCAAAUGUAAGUGCUAGAUCCCAGGUUUUAUGCCGAAAAGUCACAAAUCCAGGAGUGACUAGGUGGGUGGCGUCAGUGAAUAAAAAAGAUUGAAAGGAAGAUGGCUGGGGUUGGGAUGCAUUAUGGGUUGGGUUUUGCAGAUAUGUCUUAUACUUAGAAUUACAUUAUAUCCUAAACAAACAGUAAUAUUUUAGAAAAAGAAAAUGAUGUGGGACCUUGCUG